UACCAUUCUAUUCGCUUUGCAUAGUCUUCCUCACAACUAUUUUAUGGGUGUAUCAAAUAAUUUUGUAUUAUUUUUAAACUAAUUUUUUUUUGUUUCAGACCUUGAUCCUUCGAAUUCAAAGAUGUUCAAAUUCGAAACAUCAUCAAAUCAGUCAUGAACUGUAACUUCGAGGACCUUCUCGUCUUGGAAAACCCAUUUGUGAUGUCCGCCUUCACGUGAUGCUGGACAUCCAAUCGAAAGGCUUUGCAAAUCGAAAUUGUCGGAAGUAGUGAGCUCGAAGUUUCUGGGAAGUGAAGAAGGAAGAAGUGCCUGGAAAAGCAUGAUACGAUGUAAAACUCCCACGAAAAUUUCAAGAAAAAACUACCUUCUUCAAGAAGAUCACAUCUUCAACUGGAAUAGUCUCCAAGAAAGCCUUCACUCUAAGAAAGUGUUGAAGACGUUGGAUGGAAACCAAAAUAUUGGCUCCUGUUAAAACCAAGUCCACAGCGUGCUUCCAGUGACCUGUCUCAGUUAUUUUGUCAAGAACAAGGACCUGAUUCCAGUUGUUAUCAGCAGAUGAAGAGAUCCUUCAAGCUGGCCAUGGAAAUCUUGUUCUUGGAAGAGUGUAGGAAGUUCUUCAGCUCUUGCAUCUUUUGCGAAGAAUAACCGUGAAAAUCACAAGAAAACGAUUGAAUAUUUUCGCCAUACUUUUCCAGCCAGCUUGAUGAAAUCUCGGAGCAGUUCCCAGUGACUUCGUCGCCAUCGCCGGAAAUACGAACAAUCGCAGAAUCGGUGUCAAAAUAAACGUGCAUUCUGAUCGGAUGAUAAUGUAGAUGAUGUCUAUCGAUGAAAGUUCGAAGAUCUCUGGAUACAUCUCGGAGGGCCAAUCUGCAAUGGGAAUAUUUGAGUUUCUCAGUCGAAGGAACCCGAGAAAACGUUAAUGACAAGCCUUCUUCCAAAUCAAUCUGCUCAAUGCAAACAUCAUAUCCAUCUACUUGGCUUGCGAAGAACCAUUGAUGGGCAGAACUUCCAGUAUUCAUGGGAUCACCGAAUAAUUCAAAGGCAUCACUUUUAUCAAACGAUCCUUUGAGUAUGAACUUUCCGAAUGGGGAUAAAAAUCGAACGCAGUGCUAGAAAAAUUCAGAACCAUACUCAACCUUACAACUUGUCUGAACUGUUUGGCGAAACGUGAACAAGAUGUGGAUGUGUAAAGAAAAUUGUUCUGUUGCUUCAUUGGCCUUGAAAACUCUCAAACUCACUCAAAUUGUAAUAAUUCGUACUACUUUGCUGGAAACCUCUAUUUCGGCUAACUACGUGGUCUUCAAAGAUGGAAAGCAAAACCCUCAAGAGUUCAUGUACAAGAAAACUGGAAACGGUUGCACCUUCGAGUUUGAAGGACGUAAGGAGAUUUUCAAGAAUCAAGACUAUCUGGCACUAUUCUUUUCUCAUUUGAAGACCAUACUAUUUCCUUACACAAUUAUCUCGGAGUUGUCCUUUUCAUUGGUUAACAAUGACGUCGAAUCGGGAGCUAGGACUCUUGAAGCAAUCAAGAAUACUCUCUCAUCGAAAAAGCCUUCCCUUAAAAUCAAUGAGUUGGUUUUCUCGUUUUCUGGUCAACCAAUGUUUGCCCCUGCCAUUGCAAUAACUGAGACCUUGGAUUCAGGACCUCUAAAAUCAAUUCACUUGAGCACUGACAAAGAGGAAGAAAUGGAUUGCGAUGGUCUCACGAAGUUGCCUCAUUGGAAGCGAAUCAAGAGUCUGCUGAUUGAGGGAUUUAUAGUUUCUGCACCACUUGAACAUUUUCUCCAUUUGCCAGAGGUUACGAUUACAAUGCAAUCUAUCACUAUUUUUAAUCUCAAGCUUUUGAAGAAGCACUUCCUGGGAUUGAAAUCUGAGAAGAAGUUUGUGCUCAAGUACAAGUUGGACGACGGUGAAAUCGCUGAUAAUGUCCAUGCAGUGUUUGAACAGGCAUCGAGUACCUGCGAAGGAAUCAUCAAACAAUGGGUUUAUCCAAAAAAUGGCAACAUGGAAAUUCGUGUUGAGUAUCGUCAGCAUCAUGGCUUCAAGGAUCAUAAAUUUACUUUUAUCGCUCUCCGAGAAUCUCAAGAACAAUCGAUUUUAUUGACAGUCGACUAG